UACGUAGGGUGCAAGCGUUAAUCGGAAUUACUGGGCGUAAAGCGUGCGCAGGCGGUUGUGCAAGACCGAUGUGAAAUCCCCGGGCUUAACCUGGGAAUGGCAUUUGGGACUGCAAGGCUCGAGUGCGGCAGAGGAGACUGGAAUUCCUGGUGUAGCAGUGAAAUGCGUAGAUAUCAGGAGGAACACCGAUGGCGAAGGCAGGUCUCUGGGCUGACACUGACGCUCAUGCACGAA
rnacentral:rRNA from 1 species